UGAUCUACGGACCCUAGGUCCAUUGACGGUCCGUAGGUGAUGUCCGUAGAUCAGCAGGCAAGGCAUGGAAGGCAAAUCAGGGAAAUCUGAGCAAGAGUGGAACCACGGUGGCCAUUAAUCUACGAACCGUCCUGUUGAUCCGUAGAUUGAUACUGCGAGGGUUCCAGUACCUGAUUUUUGAAGAUUCUAAGUGUGGAGCCACGGAGGGG
rnacentral:lncRNA from 1 species